GUAAUUAAGGCGUUUUGAAAAGCAGCUGCAGUAUAUCAAAAACAAAAAAAAGAAGCGAUUUAAAUAAAAACUUUAGAAGAUUGCUCAUAAUGAAACAAGUUGAUUAAUUAAAAUUAAACAUAUAUAAAGUAGAAAAAUAAUCCUGCUGUAAAUGUAACUCCCAGCAAAAAUAGAAAAUUUAUUUUGAUUAAAAUUUAAUUUAAAGAUUGAUAGUUAAUAAAUAUUUGUAAGUCUUCGCUCAGGAAAAAAAAUGUUUGUUUUAUUGAAAACCCCAUAGAAAAGUGAUAAAAAAUGUUUAAUAAAGUACAAGCGUUAGUACAAGAGGAAGUGUUUAUUAGCAUUACAAAAAUAACGGUACAACAAUUAUUUUUUUUCCGUGCUCCAAGAAGUCAUUACGGUCUUAUCAACUUGAAGUUCAAAUUGAAUGUAUACAAUUUUUUAAGAUUUUCCAUUCAUGUCAAAUCUUAAAAAAAAGAGGGGCUGUAAAUACAACAAACACGGAUUUUACAACUAUGUCCUUUGAAUAAAAAAGCUGUUACUAAAGUAUAUAAUGUUAAAUAUUAGUGAUAGGUUGCAAAUAGGAAGAUGGUAAUCAUUACAAAAUACAAAAUGUUUGUUUAGCUUAAUUUUACAUUUAACUCAAUCUCUUUCCAUGAGGAUUCAUACAUGCAUUCAUACACAUUUUUCUCCAUCUUUUAAGCUGCUUGGACUUUGCGUUGACUUUGCCUUGUGUUUUGUUUAACUUAUACUUUUGUAUUGUGUUUAUUUAAUUUGCGAUCCUUAGAUACGAUUUUAAUUUCAAUUUUUCCUUUGGUUAUAUUAUGCCAAAACUUUACAGGAACAGUAUGAGAAAGUAAAAGGAGAAAAAUAAUUUUCUGGGCGCUCCUUGCAGAGAUUGGUAAUAGUCCAAAUUCUAGUUUGUCCUAAGUAUUAUCAUCAAGAGUUAGACAGCCAUGGAACUUUGUACUUGUGUUUUGUUUUUGUGUUCUUUUAUGUUCUAAAGUAUACUUGGACAGUUUUACUAUUUUGCCGUUUUUUUUCUAGAAUUCGAAAAAUUGAUCUUUUUGUAUAAUAACUGUAUAACUGAUCUUUUUGUAUAAUAACUGUAUAAAAGUAUUAAUGUAAUUUCUUAAAAAAAUUUUUCACUAAUUUAUUUUGAAAUAUUAAUAUUUUUAUACAUUCUGUGUUUCUUGUAUAGAAAUAAGUAGCUAAAAGUAUUCAAAAGAAACAUGCAAAAGUAAAGAUUCUUAGGUAAAAUAUCAUAAAUAAUUUUACCCAAAAAUGUCAUUUUUUAUUAUUAACUUUAAUUUAAAAUAAAAUUUUUGACUAAAACUUAAAAAUAAAUUUUGUUUUUGCUUUUAUUAUAGCAUAUUUCUAUAUUAGAAACAGAAUAUGUAUAAGUAUGAUAAAAUUCCUCAACAAUUGACAUAAAUAUGUCAUUUUUAUUUAUUAAUUUUAAUUUAAAAUAAGAUUUUUGACCUGAAAAUAAAUUGACUUUACUCUUGUUUUUAUUAAAUUUUUUAUAUUAGAAAUAAUAAAUAUAUAAUAUAUAAAAAAUAUGAUAAAAUUAUUGACAUGAAAAAGCAAGAGUAAAAUCUUCUUUAUCUUUAAUUAAUAUAUAUGUUUACAUAUAUUCUUUAUCUAGGUUUAAUUAAUAUAUAUGUUUACAUAUAUUCUUUAUCUAGGUUUAAUUAAUAUAUAUGUUUAUAUAUAUUCUUUAUAAGUUUAAUGAAUCUAAUAGUGCUUGUGCAUGCUUAUGGUUGUAUUUUUUUUUCUUUUGUCAAAAACUUUACUUGUAACCACAACUAAAGUAUUAAACUAAAGUAGCCUCCUCGACUGUAAUGGCCUUCAUGGCCUUGAGGCAGUGAAUUGAAA